rnacentral:ncRNA from 1 species
AUAUUUGGGUAAACUAUACACUUGCCCCAUAUUAGUUAAUAACUAAUAUGCAAAUCUCACUAUAUGCUGGAAACUCCUUAGAGCUUGCAAUACCUAGAUCCCUUUGGGUAUCUUACCCCAGGCGCUACGCGCCCGGGGCUAGAUGGUGACAAUUUACAAGAUUGGACAAUCAGCAGGAAACCAAAGGAAUAUUAAUAUUCCAAGUUUCGGCGGGCCCUGCGGGCCCGCCGUCACCGAACCCGCGCGCUUUGCGCGCGGGAAAAGUAGGAUCUUCAGAGACUACACGUGAGACAUCCUAUAGUAUAUUUGACGGAUGAUGAUAUAGUCCAACCUUUAUUGAAAGAUGAAA